rnacentral:rRNA from 1 species
UGUUCCUACGGGAGGCAGCAGUGAGGAAUAUUGGUCAAUGGGCGCGCGCCUGAACCAGCCAAGUCGCGUGAGGGAAGACGGUCCUAUGGAUUGUAAACCUCUUUUGUCGGGGAGCAAAAGACGCCACGUGUGGCGGGAAGGAGAGUACCCGAAGAAAAAGCAUCGGCUAACUCCGUGCCAGCAGCCGCGGUAAUACGGAGGGUGCGAGCGUUAAUCGGAAUUACUGGGCGUAAAGCGCUCGUAGGCGGUAUGUCAAGUCAAGGGUGAAAUCCCCGCGCUCAACGUGGGAACUGCCUUUGAAACUG